CGGAUCUAAAUUGUGAAUUUUCCAUUUUUAGAAAAUUAUAUCGAACAACCUUAAGACUUAGGUGUUUAAAAUCACUUUCCAAUAGAUAAAAAUCGACCUCUAUGUAUGGUAUAGCGUCCAACAUGCAGUUAACUGUUGUAGAAGUGAGUUUUUAUGGACUUUUUACCGUUAUUGAAUCAUGAAUGAAUAGUGGAUUUUGAAUUAGUUUAAUUAGAGGAAUAUUUCUGGUAGAAAUAUGAAUACUUGGAACAAAAAAUGUAUAUUUCGGAAAUAUUGAGGCCGAAGGAAUAUGAC